UGAUGGUUCAAAUGACCUACAGCUGC
rnacentral:piRNA from 1 species